GACGAACGCUGGCGGCGUGCUUAACACAUGCAAGUCGAACGGAAAGGCCCCUUUGGGGGUACUCGAGUGGCGAACGGGUGAGUAACACGUGAGUAACCUGCCCUUGACUUCGGGAUAACUUCAGGAAACUGGGGCUAAUACCGGAUAGGAAUCCUUGCUGCAUGGUGGGGGUUGGAAAGCUUCGGCGGUUUUGGAUGGACGCGCGGCUUAUCAGCUUGUUGGUGGGGUAGUGGCUUACCAAGGCUUUGACGGGUAGCCGGCCUGAGAGGGCGACCGGCCACAUUGGGACUGAGAUACGGCCCAGACUCCUACGGGAGGCAGCAGGGGGGAAUAUUGCACAAUGGGCGGAAGCCUGAUGCAGCAACGCCGCGUGCGGGAUGACGGCCUUCGGGUUGUAAACCGCUUUCAGCAGGGGCGAAGCUUGUGGUGACGGUACCUGCAGAAGAAGCACCGGCUAACUACGUG
rnacentral:rRNA from 1 species